CAGGGGUCACCAACCUUUUUUAACCUGAGAGCAACUUCAAUGGUACUUAGUACGAAGGGCACCUUGUUUUAUACAAACUUCCUCAAUAGCAAACUAGCGCGAUCAUCUUUAAACAAUAAUAAUAAUAAUAAUAAUAAUAAUAAUAAUAAUAAUAAUAAUAAUAAUAAUAAUAAUAAUAAUAAUAAUGAAAAUAUUAUGUAAAAAGACUGUCCGAUCACAUUUAUGUUAAUUAUUCCUUACAAUAAUUAUUAACAACGAUUUCCACAACAAUGAAGGUAGGAAACACACACACACACACACACACACAUACACACACACACACACACACACACACACACACACACACACACACACACACACAUAUAUAUAUGGAAAUCUGUUCCAAUAUUUAAAAGUCAGAGGCACUGUUCCCUGUAAGCUGCGCGCGUGCGCAAUUGCGCACUGCUGACACGGUCUCCGCGCACAGAAAAUCUGCGCUGUGCACAAAAAAAAAAUCCAACCUAAAUUGUAAAUAAAAUAAACACGUAACAAUUCAUUCUGUGCUAUUUUUCAAUGUGAAUCAGUGAGUGACCGGUGACUGGCUGCUGCAGCCAAUGAUGCGAUUCACAUACGUAUUUACCAUAGACUGUAUAUAAUGGUAUUUACGCAGCUAAUCAUCGUCAGGUGUCCUUAUAUGAAGCCACCGUUGUUCUCAUAGAUAUGAAUGAGUAGAUAGGACACGCCCCUUUGAGCUGCGGCUACAGCGAGGCUAAGCUAGUGGGGGAAAAGUUUCAGUGCAUUCCGUUAAUGUAGACGGUGUGAAAACGGAAACAACAAGUAUGCCGGCUCACUGUGCUGCAUACAGUUACACACUGCGUCGUACGAUUGAGACAAGGAAACCCGGAAUGACUUUUCAUAGGUUUCCCAGAGACUAUGGGUUGAGGAGGAAGUGGAAGUUUGUCGGCUUAGACCUGGUGUCAUUCCAUCAGUGUUAAACUUCCCGGCUCAUCUUGGAAGAGUACGUGCCAGAAAGACCACGACCAAGCAGCCUUGAGAUCUUAGACAGCGUCUCCCUCAGGUCCCUCUCUAUCUCCCCACACAUCCACCAACCACUGGAACACAUCUCCAAAGUUCUGCCGGGCCAGCUCAGCUUCCCCUCAGAAGAAGUGCCGCCACCUGCCAGAUGAAGGAGCCUUUUGAGAGGCAGCUGGCAUCGUGAUUGGACUGUACUUUGGUCUGUUCCAAUCCAGCUUCAGCUCCAGAGACGGCAGGCGGGACGAGUCAACGGAGGCCAGGUGGACGAAGGCAUGCAGUUGAGUACAAUCCAGAAAACAACAGAGGAGGAGUGCAGCGGCCCAGGGCCAGAACAGAGUAGCAUCGUAUGUCUCUUAGAAAACAUCAUAGUAUAGCCUUUGGUAUGAAAAAACGCCAUCAUAUACAUCGUAUAUUGUACAAAUAACAAGUCAAAGGAAAGAGACAUACAUUGUAGAAUUGUAGUAAUUGUGGGCUGACUGAUUUACUGAUUAUCAGUAUUUUAUUUUUUACUGAUUUACGGUAAUAAAUACAUUUAAAAAUGG